GGAGGUGAGGGCCAUAUGACUGUGACACAUCCAUGGAUUGCCAGGGUUAACUCAGCUCAUCUGAUUGGCAAGGCAAGUGCCUCUUCUCCUACUGCUUCAUGUGCGUCCCCCACCAAAUUGAGUGCUAGACAGUAGAAACUGCGCCCCCGCCCCUGCCUUACUAGAAUAUCCAAACAAAUUCUCAAGAAUUAUUUAUUUGAGACUUUUGUGUGGCCGCUCUGCUGCUGAU
rnacentral:snRNA from 1 species